rnacentral:rRNA from 1 species
UACAGAGGGGGCAAGCGUUGUUCGGAAUUACUGGGCGUAAAGGGCGCGUAGGCGGCCUUCUAAGUCGAACGUGAAAUCCCCGGGCUCAACCCGGGAACUGCGUCCGAUACUGGAAGGCUUGAAUCCGGGAGAGGGAUGUGGAAUUCCAGGUGUAGCGGUGAAAUGCGUAGAUAUCAGGAGGAACACCUGUGGCGAAGGCGGGUCUCUGGGCAGUAACUGACGCUGAGGAGCGAAAGCGUGGGGAGCGAACAGG